UUUCCCAUUUGACUACCACUUAUUUGCACUACAAAAUAAGUGGCUAUGCUUAUGGGAUAAAGAAAUCACUGCCAAAGUCUGAAGGAGAAGACUGACAAUAUCUUUUUCCUAUAUGAAAUGGCAGAACAUGGUAUU